GACGAACGCUGGCGGCGUGCUUAACACAUGCAAGUCGAACGGAAAGGCCCUGCUUUUGUGGGGUGCUCGAGUGGCGAACGGGUGAGUAACACGUGAGUAACCUGCCCUCGACUUUGGGAUAACUUCAGGAAACUGGGGCUAAUACCGGAUAGGAGCUCCUGCUGCAUGGUGGGGGUUGGAAAGUUUCGGCGGUUGGGGAUGGACUCGCGGCUUAUCAGCUUGUUGGUGGGGUAGUGGCUUACCAAGGCUUUGACGGGUAGCCGGCCUGAGAGGGUGACCGGCCACAUUGGGACUGAGAUACGGCCCAGACUCCUACGGGAGGCAGCAGUGGGGAAUAUUGCACAAUGGGCGCAAGCCUGAUGCAGCAACGCCGCGUGCGGGAUGACGGCCUUCGGGUUGUAAACCGCUUUCGCCUGUGACGAAGCGUGAGUGACGGUAAUGGGUAAAGAAGCACCGGCUAACUACGUG
rnacentral:rRNA from 1 species